rnacentral:rRNA from 1 species
UUCCACCGCGGGGUUGUAGGGCCCCCGAGGAGUUACAAACAACAGGUUAGCGGAACGAUCUGGAAAGGUCGUCCACAGAGGGUGACAGGCCCGUACGCGAAAACCGAGUUGCUCCGUUGAGGGGGUACCCUGAGUAGGUCGAGCCACGUGGAAUCUCGACUGAAUCGACGGGGACCAUCCCGUAAGGCUAAAUACUCCCUGAUGACCGAUAGUGAACUAGUAGCGCGAGCGAAAGUUGAGAAGAACCCCUGCUAGGGGAGGAAUGUGAACCUGAAACCAUGUGCCUACAAGCGGUCGGAGCACUAUGGCUGGCAACAGCAAUGUGUGACGGCGUGCCUUUUGCAUAAUGAUCCGGCGAGUUACCGUCAGCGGCUCGGUUAAGGCCCUCAGGGCCGUAGCCACAGGGAAACCGAGUCUGAACAGGGCGACAAUUGGUCGCUGGUGGUAGACGCGAAACUGCACGAACUACCCAUGAGCAGGUUGAACCGCGGGUCAAACCGCGUGGAGGACCGAACCCACUUGGGUUGAAAACCGAGGGGAUGACUUGUGGGGAGGAGUGAAAGUCUAAUCAAGCGCAGAGAUAGCUCGUUCUCUCCGAAAUAGCUUUAGGGCUAGCCUCGGAACAUUGCACGGCGGGGGUAGAGAGACUGAAUCGGAGGAGGGCCAUACCCUGGUACCUUCCUGAACCAAACUCCGAAUACCGUUCGUGUGUACUCCGGGAGUCAGUCCGCGAGGGAUAAGCUUCGCGGUCAAAAGGGAAACAACCCAGACCAACUGCUAAGGUCCCCAAGCAGAACUCAGUCACUAAGGAAGUGGAGUUGCUAAGACAGCCAGGAUGUUGGCUUAGAAGCAGCCAUCAUUUAAAAAGUGCGUAACAGCUUACUGGUCGAGCAAUUCCGCGCCGAUAAUGAACGGGAGUAAGUUCUGCACCGAAGCAUUGGAAUCCACGCAAGUGGAUUGGUAGGAGAGCGCUGUACGUCAGAUACAAGUCGCACCGUAAGGAGCGAUGUCGGGGCGUACAGGUGAUUAUGCCGGAAUGAGUAACGAUAAAGCAGGUGAGAAUCCUGCUCGCCGAAAGCCUAAGGUUUCCUGGGGAAGGUAAAUCCGCCCAGGGUUAGCCGGUACCUUAGUCGAGGCCGAAAGGCGUAGACGAUGGACAGCAGGUCAACAUUCCUGCGCCACAUGCUGGACCGAUGGAGGGACGGCGUCUGGAAGGUGAGGGGACGGAUAGAAAUGUCCCUCGCCGGUGUGGAAGGUAGCCGUAGGAAAAUCCGCGGCGACAUCCCGAAGCACCGGACAAAGACGCUUAUGUUUCGAUAGUCAUCCGAAGGACGUCCAAGAAAAGCUUCUAGGGUUGAAGGCAUGUGACCGUACUAAAACUGACACAGGUAGGCGGGACGAGAAGUCCUAGGCGCUCGGGAGAACACUGGUUAAGGAACUCUGCAAAAUGGCCCCGUAAGUUCGCGAUAAGGGGUACCCUCCGUGGUUUAUAGCUUUGGAGGGUCACAGUAAAUCGGCAUCAGCAACUGUUUAUCAAAAACACAGGACUCUGCGAACUCGCAAGAGGAGGUAUAGAGUCUGACGCCUGCCCGGUGUUGGUAGGUUAAGGAAGAGGGUUAGCCGCAAGGUGAAGCCCGCGACCGAAGCCCCAAUAAACGGCGGCCGUAACUAUGACGGUCCUAAGGUAGCGAAGUUCCUUGUCGGGUAAGUUCCGACCUGCAUGAAUGGCGUAAUGACUGAUGCACUGUCUCAACCAGUGACCCGGUGAAAUUGUAGCCGUGGUGAAGAUGCCACGUACCCGCAGUGUGACGGAAAGACCCCGUGAACCUUCACUGUAGGCUGAUAUUGGUCUCGGACGUGUUCUGUGUAGGAUAGGUGGGAGGCUGCGAAGUGGUGGCGCUAGCCAUCAUGGAGCCAACGUUGAAAUACCACCCUGGAUUCGUUUGAGUUCUAACCCUGAUUCCCGUGAAACCGGGCAGGGGACAGUGUCAGUUGGGCAGUUUGACUGGGGCGGUCUCCUCCAAAAGAGUAACGGAGGAGUUCAAAGGUACCCUCAGCCUGGUUGGCAAUCAGGCAUCGAGCGCAAAGGUAGAAGGGUGCUUGACUGCGAGACUCAUAAGUCGAGCAGAUACGAAAGUAGGACUUAGUGAUCCGGUGGUUCCGAAUGGAAGGGCCAUCGCUCAUCAGAUAAAAGGUACUCCGGGGAUAACAGGCUUAUCGCUUCCGAGCGUCCAUAGCGGCGAAGCGGUUUGGCACCUCGAUGUCGGCUCAUCACAUCCUGGGGGUGGAGAAGCUCCCAAGGGUUUGGCUGUUCGCCAAUGACUGUCAAUAUCGUGACUGGGAAAC